GGAGUUAGCCGGUGCUUCUUCUGCGAGUAACGUCACAGAUGUAAGGUAUUAACUUACACCCUUUCCUCCUCGCUGAAAGUGCUUUACAACCCGAAGGCCUUCUUCACACACGCGGCAUGGCUGCAUCAGGGUUUCCCCCAUUGUGCAAUAUUCCCCACUGCUGCCUCCCGUAGGAGUCUGGGCCGUGUCUCAGUCCCAGUGUGGCUGAUCAUCCUCUCAGACCAGCUAGGGAUCGUCGCCUAGGUGAGCCUUUACCUCACCUACUAGCUAAUCCCACCUGGGCUUAUCCAUCAGCGCAAGGCCCGAAGGUCCCCUGCUUUCCCCCGUAGGGCGUAUGCGGUAUUAGCAGUCGUUUCCAACUGUUAUCCCCACAAAUGGGCAAAUUCCCAGGCAUUACUCACCCGUCCGCCGCUCGUCAUCUUCAAAAGCAAGCUUUUGAAAUGUUACCGCUCGACUUGCAUGUGUAGCUGCGCCAGCGUCAUACUGAGCAGAUACAACUACUGA
rnacentral:rRNA from 1 species